AGGCACAGUCGGUCCCGCAACCCUCACAGCGGCAAACACACACAUGUACACACGCUCACGAGGCCAGUACAUAGGGACACACGCCUGUGAACCACGCGCCGGAACUACCUCGAGGGAAGAAUCUGACAGAAUCCGCCUGGCACGCGGUCGGCCUCAGGGCGGCACCACGGACGCACUCGGCUGUCAAGACUGUGGACUCCAUUGUCUGGAGGGCUGUCGAGGCUCGCAUAGCCGGGACUGCUCCCGGGUGAGUUCUGUCAGCUCACCGCGCGAGAACGCGGGUACCAGAGUUCGGGAGGAGAGCCGCCCCGUCCGAGCGUGUCUGCGCCUGCACACUCAGAGCCCAAGCCCACCGGCUACCGACCGUGGACUACAUUUCCCAGAAGGCCCAGGGGGAGGAUGUAAACUUCCACCCCGAGGGCUCCCAACCGUGCUUUCUGGGUAGCCCAGCCACCGCAGGUGAGCUAGUAGAAGCCGGGGGAGAAGUUGGUGCUAGGUGAGGAGAAGCAGGAUUUGUCCGGAGUGGGGAUGGAGAUGCCGCCCAAAGUGAGGACCCCAGGGAGCCUUUUCUGCCUGCAGCCUCAGGCCUGUGCGGGCAGGAGGAGAAGAGGAAAGGGAUUGUGUGACUGUGAGUGUGUGCAUGUAUGUGGGGGUGUGUGUGUGUGUGUGUGUGCAGGACAAAGUCAGGCCUCCUGUCGGUGGGUGCGGUUGUCAGUCUGAUACUGGUACUUGGUUCAGUGACGAGUGUGACUGACCCACGCUCUUGCUGCCUUCCCCUCCCUCCCCUCAGCCCUGGUGUCUGCACAGAGCUAUGUCCCCAAGAGAAAAGUCCAAGAUUGAACCCCAGGAUGAAGGUUCCCAGCAAGAAGGCACAGUCCUGGGCUUGGGAUGGGGCUUUUAGAGCUGAAAGUGUCUCCGAAACAGACUCCGGGGAGGAAAUGGUGAGAGGGGUCCUUACUUGCAGGCAAUGUGGGUGUUGCUGCAUUUUUCAGAACCACAGCAUCCCCUUACCUCUGAUCCUAGGAGUCGGCUAUCGUGUCAGAGACAGGCUCCCAUCUGGUCACAGGCAUGAGGUAGAGCUGAUGUGGCCCUGGAGGGGACAUUAUGCGUCUGGCUGUGCUCUAAGAAAGGCUUGGUGUCUCAUGAUUUCCUUCUUCCCCAGUCCUGCCAGUUUUCGCAAAAAGGAUCCUGAAGAGAAAGGAAAAAAAUUUCCCCAUCUAAAAGUGCAGAUCAGUCUGCAGAUGCCCCUCACCUGAUAUGUUCAUGCAGAGGAGAAUUUUGUCUGUGAAAAGGUCUUAUUGUAUUGAAGAAGGAUCUUCAAGAGUUGUUGCUGCUGCUGCUGUCACUUCAGUCGUUUCCGACUCUGUGUGACCCCAUAGAUGGCAGCCCACCAGGCUCCCCGUCCCUGGGAUUCUCCAGGCAAGAACACUAGAUCGGGUUGCCAUUUCCUUCUCAAAUGCAUGAAAGUAAAAAGCGAAAGUGAAGUCGCUCAGUCGUGUCUGACUCUUAGCGACCCCAUGGACUGCAGCCUACCAGGCUCCUCCGUCCAUGGGAUUUUCCAGGCAAGAGUUCUGGAGUGGGUUGCCAUUGCCUUCUCCCAAGAGUUGUUAGUCUUUAUUUAUAAUGGUCAUACUGAUUCCCUUACUAUUCCCACAUAUAUUAAACAGAUUUGCUUCCAAGAUUUUCAAAUAUUUUUAAUUGGAUAUAGAUUUGUUGUAUACUUAAUAUUAUGGAAUUGAUACUUAUUUUUUUCAAAAAGUUAUUCAGUUAUAUUACAUGAGGGACUUGUAAAAAAGAAAGUUAAAAUAGCCCUGGCAUCAUGAUUAAUAUUUUGGGGAGGUUUAUUUUAGCAAAAUUUUUUCUGUGAACCUGUAUAUGUGUGUGUGUGUGUGUGUGUGUGUGCAUGUGUAUGCAGAACAGAAACUGUUCUAACAAAACGUUCAAAGGACACAGAUUCCACAACUCUUAUUUGGAAAAAGUAAUUCUACCAAAGCAGAGGUUUCUUAUAUCUCCAUGAAUAUAGAAAGAAGAGGAACACGUCAGUGAAGCUUCAUAAACUUUCCAAGUAUUUAUACCUCCAAAUUUGUAUUAUAUAA
ensembl:lncRNA